rnacentral:rRNA from 1 species
UACGGAGGAUCCAAGCGUUAUCCGGAAUCAUUGGGUUUAAAGGGUCCGUAGGUGGAUAAUUAAGUCAGGGGUGAAAGUCUGCAGCUCAACUGUAGAAUUGCCUUUGAUACUGGUUAUCUUGAAUUAUUAUGAAGUAGUUAGAAUAUGUAGUGUAGCGGUGAAAUGCUUAGAGAUUACAUGGAAUACCAAUUGCGAAGGCAGGUUACUACUAGUGGAUUGACGCUGAUGGACGAAAGCGUGGGUAGCGAACAGG